UACAGAGGUGGCAAGCGUUGUUCGGAAUUACUAGGCGUAAAGGGCGCGUAGGCGGCUUGGUCAGUCCCGUGUGAAAUCCCUCGGCUCAACUGAGGAACUGCACGGGAAACUGCCUGGCUUGAGUUCGGGAGAGGGAAGCGGAACUCCGGGUGUAGCGGUGAAAUGCGUAGAUAUCCGGAGGAACACCGGUGGCGAAGGCGGCUUCCUGGACCGACACUGACGCUGAGGCGCGAAAGCUAGGGGAGCAAACGGG
rnacentral:rRNA from 1 species